rnacentral:rRNA from 1 species
UGGGGAAUUUUGGACAAUGGGCGCAAGCCUGAUCCAGCCAUGCCGCGUGCAGGAUGAAGGCCUUCGGGUUGUAAACUGCUUUUGUACGGAACGAAAAGACUCCUUCUAAUAAAGGGGGUCCAUGACGGUCCCGUAAGAAUAAGCACCGGCUAACUACGUGCCAGCAGCCGCGGUAAUACGUCGGGUGCGAGCGUUAAUCGGAAUUACUGGGCGUAAAGCGUGCGCAGGCGGUCUUGUAAGACAGUCGUGAAAUCCCCGGGCUCAACCUGGGACCUGCAGUUGUGACUGCAGCGCUGGAGUGCGGCAGAGGGGGAUGGAAUUCCGCGUGUAGCAGUGAAAUGCGUAGAUAUGCGGAGGAACACCGAUGGCGAAGGCAAUCCCCUGGGCCUGCACUGACGCUCAUGCACGAAAGCGUGGGGAGCAAACA